rnacentral:misc_RNA from 1 species
UACGUAGGUGGCGAACGUUAUCCGGAGUUACUGGGCGUAAAGGGUCCGCAGGCGGGCGAUUAAGUCCGGCGUGAAAGCUCCCGGCGCAACUGGGAGAGGACGUCGGAAACUGGCCGUCUUGAAUCUUGCAGAGGUCGGUGGAAUUCCCGGUGUAGUGGUGGAAUGCGUAGAGAUCGGGAGGAACCUCGAAAGCGAAGGCAGCCGGCUGGGCAAAGAUUGACGCUGAGGGACGAAAGCGUGGGGAGCGAACAGG